ensembl:lncRNA
CUCUCCAUUGGACCACGUUGCAUCCUUCAGCAUGCCCUUGUAGGACCCAAUUUGUCCCAUUUCUUACUUGUUCCCAGAGCUUAACCUCAAAAAUUAACACAUUACCCCACCACUGGACUCAGACUUGGAAGAUUUCAACCCAGAAGUUCUACACACUCUUCCCCAAACCCCCAGAUCAGAGGGAUUCCAUGGAUGGUGGUUUGGGACUUUCCUCUCCCCACUUCAUGGAAUCCUCUGUGCCAUCUGACCAAACUGAACUGCCACAUUCCCCUUCCCAGUCGCACAGAGCCUGCCCAUGUAGGGGAGCCCCGAAGAGUGAGAUGCCUCAUACCCCAUUCUCUACUCCCCACCUACCCAGAGCAGGAAGUGGUCACCAUUGUUCCCCUCCACAACCCCUAAAGCAGCAGAAGACAGAAGGGGCAGUUCAGAGAAGAGGUGAAUGCUCUGUGUUGGGGCUCAAUGCCCUGGAAUUAAAGCUGAGAUCCCCCCCAGAGCCCAUCCAACAUGACUCUCCUACUGUGCUUGUUGCUGCUUUCCCUCUCUGGUUUUCAGGCAACUCCUCCACCUUCCUUGUUCCAGCCUCAAAUCUCCGUGUUCAACGGACAGGGAAACCCACAGAUCCUGUGCCAGGUGCUGGGCACCCCUGCGGGCGCUCAUGUCCUGUCCUGGUACCAGCAGCUUCCUGGGAAGGGGCCAACCUUUCUGCUGAGUCAGAGGGAGGGGGCUUCCCCAAGCUAUGGUCCUGGGGUGGCCCCCCGUUUCCUGGCUGAGCUGGACCCUGAGGAGAACAGUGCCCGCCUCACUGUGGGCAAUGCCAGCCCUGCAGAUACGGGCAUUUACUACUGUGCUCUGUGGAACGCCGGCCAGUACAUCUUUGGAGAAGGCACUCAGUUCCUCUAUCGGGCUGAGAAGUUGCCUCCAGCCCCCCUCUUUCCUCAGCUGAGCGUGCUCACUUCAGGCCCAGGCUCUCCGGUACUGUGUGUGGCCCAGGGGCACCAUGCUGGCUCUCCGAGGCUCUCCUGGACGCUGGGGGGCCAGCUCCGGAAAGGGGGAGCCGUGGAGAGCCUGCUGGAGGACAUGGAUAACGCGGUGGUCAGCAUCCUGCACCUGCCCAGCAGGGCUCUAGGAGGCACCGUGACCUGCCAGGCCCGCCCCGAGGGCCCGAGCUUGGCCGCCAUGCUGAGGCUGCCUCCUGAGGAGCACGGUGAGGGCAUGCGGAGGCAGCUCUCCCUGGCCAUCCACGGACCGUCCACCCCCGGGACUCCCCUCACCCGGCUCUCCCAAUCGCCACCAAGUUGGCGGAUGAGCCCUUGGUCCAAGGCAGGGUCGGAAGUGCUUCCAUCUAACUGAGUUGAGACUGAGCCCCGGGAGCGCUUAGAUGAGGGGGUUGUUCCGGGGACCCCCGUCUGUUAAUGGGCUUCCUCCUCCCCUUCUCUUCCAGGGUACCUGGACCAGUGGGCCCACGGGGAGGCCUGCAGCGGGGUCCAGGAGGACCAGGAUGCCCUAGGUAGGGUGACUUCCGGCCUCCUGGCUAGGAAGGCGGCCAACAAUCCUUGAACUUUCUGGCUUCCUUCCGCGGCCUUUCCAUACCCGAGUCCUGCGUUCUGGUCUUGGCUCUGCUUUUAACCCCCCCAGGAUCUCGGCCUCCAUGUCCCCCUCUGUAAAAAGGG